rnacentral:rRNA from 1 species
AGUGAACGCUGGCGGUAGGCCUGACACAUGCAAGUCGAACGGCAGCACAGUAAGAGCUUGCUCUUACGGGUGGCGAGUGGCGGACGGGUGAGGAAUACAUCGGAAUCUACUUUUUCGUGGGGGAUAACGUAGGGAAACUUACGCUAAUACCGCAUACGACCUACGGGUGAAAGCAGGGGAUCUUCGGACCUUGCGCGAUUGAAUGAGCCGAUGUCGGAUUAGCUAGUUGGCGGGGUAAAGGCCCACCAAGGCGACGAUCCGUAGCUGGUCUGAGAGGAUGAUCAGCCACACUGGAACUGAGACACGGUCCAGACUCCUACGGGAGGCAGCAGUGGGGAAUAUUGGACAAUGGGCGCAAGCCUGAUCCAGCAAUACCGCGUGGGUGAAGAAGGCCUUCGGGUUGUAAAGCCCUGUUGUUGGGAAAGAAAAGCAGCAGGUUAAUACCCCGCUGUUCUGACGGUACCCAAAGAAUAAGCACCGGCUAACUUCGUG